UCUAUGGAAAAGGAGUAGAGCCGGUGUGA
rnacentral:piRNA from 1 species